CCUACGGGAGGCAGCAGUAGGGAAUCUUCCACAAUGGGCGAAAGCCUGAUGGAGCAACGCCGCGUGGGUGAAGAAGGUCUUCGGAUCGUAAAACCCUGUUGUUAGAGAAGAAAGUGCGUGAGAGUAACUGUUCACGUUUCGACGGUAUCUAACCAGAAAGCCACGGCUAACUACGUGCCAGCAGCCGCGGUAAUACGUAGGUGGCAAGCGUGAUCCGGAUUUAUUGGGCGUAAAGGGAACGCAGGCGGUCUUUUAAGUCUGAUGUGAAAGCCUUCGGCUUAACCGGAGUAGUGCAUUGGAAACUGGUAGACUGGAGUGCAGAAGAGGAGAGUGGAACGCCAUGUGUAGCGGUGAAAUGCGUAGAGAUAUGGAAGAACACCAGUGGCGAAAGCGGCUCUCUGGUCUGUAACUGACGCUGAGGUUCGAAAGCGUGGGUAGCAAACAGGAUUAGAUACCCCAGUAGUC
rnacentral:rRNA from 1 species